rnacentral:rRNA from 1 species
AUUGAACGCUGGCGGCAUGCUUUACACAUGCAAGUCGAACGGUAACAGGCCGCAAGGUGCUGACGAGUGGCGAACGGGUGAGUAAUGCAUCGGAACGUGCCCAGUCGUGGGGGAUAACGCAGCGAAAGCUGCGCUAAUACCGCAUACGAUCUAUGGAUGAAAGCGGGGGACCGUAAGGCCUCGCGCGAUUGGAGCGGCCGGUGUCAGAUUAGGUAGUUGGUGGGGUAAAGGCUCACCAAGCCAACGAUCUGUAGCUGGUCUGAGAGGACGACCAGCCACACUGGGACACAGACACGGCCCAGACUCCUACGGGAGUCAGCAGUGGGGAAUUUUGGACAAUGGGCGCAAGCCUGAUCCAGCAAUGCCGCGUGCAGGAAGAAGGCCUUCGGGUUGUAAACUGCUUUUGUACGGAACGAAACGGUCCUGGUUAAUACCUGGGGCUAAUGACGGUACCGUAAGAAUAAGCACCGGCUAACUACGUGCCAGCAGCCGCAGUAAAAC